GAUAGCUCAGUUGGAAGAGCACGAGACACUUAAUCUCAAGGUUGUGGGUUCGAGUCCCACAUUGCGCA